GACGAACGCUGGCGGCGUGCUUAACACAUGCAAGUCACGGGGGCCCAGCAAUGGGUAACCGGCGAACGGGUGCGUAACACGUGAGCAACCUGCCUUUGUGUGGGGGAUAGCCGGGCUAACGCCCGGGUAAUACCGCAUACGGUCAGCCGGGGGAGUCCUUGGCUGAAGAAACCUCCGGGGCACAGAGAGGGGCUCGCGGCCUAUCAGCUAGUUGGCGGGGUAAUGGCCCACCAAGGCGACGACGGGUAGCUGGUCUGAGAGGAUGGCCAGCCACAUUGGGACUGAGAGACGGCCCAGACUCCUACGGGAGGCAGC
rnacentral:rRNA from 1 species